rnacentral:lncRNA from 1 species
AAACACUGUCUUAAUAAACCAUCUCCUCCACCUUCUUUAUUUUGUAAGCAGAAGUGGAAAUGGGUAGGCGAAGACAGGCGACUUGCUAAAGGUCACCCGGCUGCCAUUCAGACUCGCGAGUGUUCAGCACUUUCCACUGUCCUUGGAAGAUUCACACUGGUCUUGCUGCCUCUUUUUUUUUUUUUUUUUUUUUUUUCUCUUUCAGCAGAAUGGUUGGAGGUAGUGGAGUGUGGGAGGAAGGGGAGAGAGUCUAGAGAGAAAGCCCCUGAAAAGGACCCAGUGACUAGGAAGGGAAGAAGAGUCUACUGCUCUUUCUAUGGAACUAGACAUAAGCUACCCACACUGAUACCGGGAAGGAUGGUAACUCAGCUCUGCUCAGCGAAGACCAAAGAGUCUUUGACAGACAGCACACCCCUUCUCUUCAUGGAGGGCAUGCUUCUCCCCAUCCAUGGGUGUACCUGUGGCUGCUCUCUUUUUUUAAUAAUUGACAUAUACUAAUUGUAUGUUACCUAUUGAGUACAGCAGCAUGAUGUUUCAAUACAUGUCCACAUUGUGUAAUAAUCAAAAUAGGGUGCUUAGCAUAUCCACUAGCUUGUGUCUUUGUGAUAAGAAAAAUCAGAAUCUUUUCUUCUAGCUCUUUGGAAAUAUUCAAUACACAAUUGUGCAGCAUUGUCACCCUGUGUGCAACAGAACACCAAAAUUUAUUCAUCCCACCUAACGGUGAGCCUGUACCUGUUCACUGACCUCUGCCUACCCCUUCUCCUCUCUACUCACCCCAGCCUCUGGAAGCCACCAUGGUACUCUCUGCUUCUGUGAGAGCGACAUUUUUCAAGUUCACUCAUGUGUAAGAUCAUGUGUGUUUGUCUUCUUAUGCUUGGCUUAUUUCACUUAUUUUUUUUAAAGAUUUAUUUAUUUAUUUGAAAGUCAGAGUUACACACACACACACACACACACACACACAGAAGUCUUCCAUCCAUUGGUUCAUUCCCCAGUUGGCCUCAACGGCCAGAGCUGCGCCUAUCCGAAGCCAGGAGCCAGGAGCUUCUUCCGGGUCUCCUAUGUGGGUGCAGGGACCCAAGGACUUGGACCAUCUUCCACUGCCUUCCCAGGCAAUAGCAGAGAGCUAUUGGCUACAUAUACAUAUAACAAACUAAUAAAUAAACUAUGUUCAUGGGUAUAUACA